rnacentral:tRNA from 1 species
GGGGUUAUAGCUCAGUUGGUAGAGCGUUUGAAUGGCAUUCAAAAGGUCAGCGGUUCGAUCCCGCUUAGCUCCACCA